GCUUAACCGGAGAAGUGCAUCGGAAACCAGGAGACUUGAGUGCAGAAGAGGACAGUGGAACUCCAUGUGUAGCGGUGAAAUGCGUAGAUAUAUGGAAGAACACCAGUGGCGAAGGCGGCUGUCUGGUCUGCAACUGACGCUGAGGCUCGAAAGCAUGGGUAGCGAACAGGAUUAGAUACCCUGGUAGUCCAUGCCGUAAACGAUGAGUGCUAAGUGUUGGAGGGUUUCCGCCCUUCAGUGCUGCAGCUAACGCAUUAAGCACUCCGCCUGGGGAGUACGACCGCAAGGUUGAAACUCAAAGGAAUUGACGGGGGCCCGCACAAGCGGUGGAGCAUGUGGUUUAAUUCGAUGCUACGCGAAGAACCUUACCGGGUCUUGACAUCUUCUGCCAACCUAAGAGAUUAGGCGUUCCCUUCGGGGACAGAAUGACAGGUGGUGCAUGGUUGUCGUCAGCUCGUGUCGUGAGAUGUUGGGUUAAGUCCCGCAACGAGCGCAACCCUUAUUGUUAGUUGCCAGCAUUUAGUUGGGCACUCUAGCAAGACUGCCGGUGACAAACCGGAGGAAGGUGGGGAUGACGUCAAAUCAUCAUGCCCCUUAUGACCUGGGCUACACACGUGCUACAAUGGACGGUACAACG
rnacentral:rRNA from 1 species